CAUUUUACAUUUGCAAAUGGUUAGGGAAAAAAACUAAAAAGAAUACUAUUUUGUGACACAGGAAAAUCACAUAGAAUUGGAAUUUCAGUACGACAAAGAGAGAGUUCUUGGAACUCAGCCAUGCUCAUUUGCUUACAUGGUGUGUAAGGCUGCUCUCAUGCCAUGAAGGCAGAAUGAGUACUUGUGAAAGAGCCACAAUACUUGCAUAGCUUAAAGCGGUUAUUUACUAUCUGCCCCUUUCCAGAACUUUGCUGCCCUAUAAUAUUCAUGGUCAGAGACGAUUAAUUCAAGGCCCAUUCCUAAUGAAGUAAAGAUAACAUAUACCAGCACAAGGAAUGAAGCUUGGAGUUGUAAGAGGAUUUGGAAGAGCCCUGGUCCAGCCUCCCGCAGCACAGAAUUCCUGCAGGAAGCAUCCAGGCAUGAGGACUAACAAUACCAAGGAGCUCUUUGUUUUCAAACAGCUUAUGAGAGAGAAAUACUUCUGGUGUUGAACUAAACUGAUCUUUAUCUCCACUCUAAAUCGCUUACAUUCAACAGAACACCACCGCAUUGCCCUAACUGAUGGGAAGUGACUUGCAAAGCACGGAGUAACGGGAAGGGACAGAUUGGAAAAUUCCUGAAAUGAAGAUAAACAACUCCUGAAAAGCAAGCUGCUGAAUCUCUGAAGAGAAUAAACUGGCCAUUCCAGCAAGCAGAGUCCCGUAUUCUUUCCAUUCCUGAAGGCUGGGUUUCGCCAACAGAGUUGUCAUAACAUCAGCAGCAAAAAAACACUGUGUUGAAAUGAGUGAGGUCUAAGUUCAAUUUUUAUCAUAAUAAAGUCUUA